GAGCACUGCGCUAUCCCCUUCUUCAACAUGGAGCCAACGUGAAAAAUCCUACAUUAUUCCAGGCUCAAGACUGGGAACAGAUAAGAGAAGAGGGAGGAGGAGAUCGCACAGAGGUUUACUUGAAAAUAUGGCUGCUACAUCUUCAUGGAACCUUAUGUUCACUCCAAACCCUCCAUCUCCUUCCUCUCUCUCAUGGAAACUCUCUUUCCCCUCUCCUUUCACCUCCGCCCACUUUCAACGCCGCCAUAACAGAAACGCUGAAAGAUUCCUACUCUUUGCCUCCAUGAUGGACGCCAAACCCACCGUCCUUGUCGCUGAGAAGCUCGGAGAUGCUGGUCUGGAGCUCCUCAAAACAUUUUCCAACGUUGACUGCUCUUACAACCUUAGCCCGGAGGAAUUGUGUACUAAAAUCUCACUCUGUGACGCGUUGAUUGUGAGGAGUGGAACUAAGGUUACACGCGAGGUGUUUGAACGUUCUAGUGGGAGACUUAAGGUUGUGGGUCGAGCUGGCGUUGGAAUUGAUAAUGUUGAUUUGUCUGCAGCUACGGAACAUGGAUGUCUGGUAGUCAAUGCGCCUACAGCGAAUACGAUUGCAGCUGCGGAGCAUGGGAUUGCGUUGCUUACUUCCAUGGCUAGAAGUAUAGCGCAAGCUGAUGCGUCCGUUAAAUCUGGCAAGUGGCAGAGAAGCAAAUAUGUAGGAGUGUCGCUUCUGGGGAAAACACUUGCUGUGAUAGGGUUUGGAAAAGUUGGAUCAGAAGUUGCUAGGCGUGCCAAGGGUCUUGGUAUGAAUGUGAUUGCACAUGAUCCUUAUGCUCCUGCAGACCGGGCGCAUGCCAUAGGUGUGGAGUUGGUGCGCUUCGAAGAAGCCAUAUCAUCAGCUGAUUUCAUAUCUCUGCAUAUGCCUCUUACCCCUGCUACAUCA
rnacentral:misc_RNA from 1 species